rnacentral:rRNA from 1 species
AUUGAACGCUGGCGGAAUGCUUUACACAUGCAAGUCGAACGGCAGCACGGGGGCAACCCUGGUGGCGAGUGGCGAACGGGUGAGUAAUACAUCGGAACGUGCCCAGUCGUGGGGGAUAACGUAGCGAAAGCUACGCUAAUACCGCAUACGAUCUACGGAUGAAAGCGGGGGAUCGCAAGACCUCGCGCGAUUGGAGCGGCCGAUGGCAGAUUAGGUAGUGGGUGAGGUAAAGGCUCACCAAGCCGACGAUCUGUAGCUGGUCUGAGAGAACGACCAGCCACACUGGGACUGAGACACGGCCCAGACUCCUACGGGAGGCAGCAGUGGGGAGUUUUGGACAAUGGGCGCAAGCCUGAUCCAGCCAUUCCGCGUGCAGGAUGAAGGCCCUCGGGUUGUAAACUGCUUUUGUACGGAACGAAACGGCUCUCUCUAAUACAGGGGGCUAAUGACGGUACCGUAAGAAUAAGCACCGGCUAACUACGUGCCAGCAGCCGCCGUAAGAC